rnacentral:lncRNA from 1 species
GAGACUUGAGCUAUACUGCUGCGUCCGCAGACCAGAGAGUCUCCGUCCUUUCUACCCUAGUUAGCAGUACUUUUCCUUAUUAUUUCCGUUGUAUUAGACUUUUCAAACAUUAGAGCUGUAUUUGCGUUCUCAUAGACCUGUGUUGCUCAUGGGAUUCCGGGUUUUGGGAUGUCAUUUUUCAGAAGUGGCGUGCAUCAGUGUAUGUGUCAAGUGGCACCGUAUACAUUUCAUGUUCUUUUUAGCGUUAUUUAUCGUCUUAUUUCUGCACUGUUAAA